rnacentral:tRNA from 3 species
GCUCCGGUGGUGUAGACCGGUCAAGCAUUUCGGCCUUUCGAGCCGACGACCCGGGUUCAAAUCCCGGCCGGAGCA